GGGUGGUAAUACCGGAUGCUCCGCUCCAUCGCAUGGUGGGGUGGGAAAUGCUUUUGCGGCAUGGGAUGGGGUCGCGUCCUAUCAGCUUGUUGGCGGGGUGAUGGCCCACCAAGGCGUUGACGGGUAGCCGGCCUGAGAGGGUGACCGGCCACAUUGGGACUGAGAUACGGCCCAGACUCCUACGGGAGGCAGCAGUGGGGAAUAUUGCACAAUGGGCGCAAGCCUGAUGCAGCGACGCCGCGUGCGGGAUGGAGGCCUUCGGGUUGUAAACCGCUUUUGUUCAAGGGCAAGGCACGGUUUCGGCCGUGUUGAGUGGAUUGUUCGAAUAAGCACCGGCUAACUACGUGCCAGCAGCCGCGGUAAUACGUAGGGUGCGAGCGUUAUCCGGAUUUAUUGGGCGUAAAGGGCUCGUAGGCGGUUCGUCGCGUCCGGUGUGAAAGUCCAUCGCCUAACGGUGGAUCUGCGCCGGGUACGGGCGGGCUGGAGUGCGGUAGGGGAGACUGGAAUUCCCGGUGUAACGGUGGAAUGUGUAGAUAU
rnacentral:rRNA from 1 species